rnacentral:lncRNA from 1 species
ACAACAACUCUGUUAACUGCGAUUGAAUAUGUCAGAUAACAAGUCAUAAGCAAAUAACUAAUGUUCAAGUCCUUAAGUUAACACGUACUGAAAUACCCACAAAACAAAGUAGCUAUUAUUUAACUACAGGGGAAGAUUUUGGUUUCUUUGAGACUAAAUAGGAGGACAGAAGUAUCUAUUAGCUAGGUAGCUCCAACUACUUCACAUUGUCGAAUCAAGUACCCAGUGGUCGUGUUUACAAUUUAGAAAGCUAAAAAUGAACAAAACUUUUGUCAUGGACUAGAAAUAUGAUCUCAUGUUUCAUCUACCCAAGAGGUCAUCCAAGCCUCCAAGGUAUCAGUAAACAAUUUGACAAAAAACUAAGGGGCAGGAAAAAAGUUAAGCAUGUGCAUUGAAACCAUUAUAAACUAUUACUCUAACCAAAAGUUCACAAUCUCACCGCUACCCAGAGGUCAUCCAAGCCUCCAAGGUCUUGUAUUUCGACUCCCGUUUCUUCGCAAGCUCCAUGAACAUAACCUUCCUGUUUAAAACUCCACCAGUCAUUUGACUAGCAUUAACUUCUCCUGGAGAUCUUGUCCAGGUAAUUUCAUUUUCAAGAAACAGGUUGUUUGAUAUCCCACCUGAAACAUCAGAACGAUGAGUAAAUGCAGUUAUGCAACAGUGUUUCCAUUUCACAUUUCACUUGGACUAGGACUACAAGAGUGUUGGUCAAACACUGAUGGUUGUGCGAUAACAGAAUUCACGAAAGAGGUACACAAUAAAAACAUAAUCAUAUUCUCAACUCACGUAACAUAAAUCUGGGUUCAUAGAAGAUUAGCAAAACAUGAACUAUGCAACCAAAUCAAGUAUCCUUUAAUAUCAAUACUGAUGGUUGUGCGACAGCAAUAGUAAAUUUAACGUUUAAGUUAGCAAAUGUAAAAUAAAAGCAAUAAUGUAGCAUUAAUUAGUACCAAAAUAAAGCUUCCUAGAUACAGUAUUGAGCGCGGGAUUAAUCCAAAACUCAAAGGAACAGAGAUAAGAUAGCCAAAAGAUCUAGCUAGUAUUACCAUCAUUAAAAACAUUUAAACUCUUAAUAAACAAAUUUGGAAAAGUAUUUAACUGGUUCCACCCAUUCAGGCUCAAUAAAUUUACAAAUAUAGCAAAUAUAUCUAUCUAUCAACUUCCAUUAAAAUCAAUGGCUUUUCAUGGGGAAAUAAACCUUGGAUUCAGAAUCAAUACACGGACAUUUUUAACAAAUAAACAAAAAAUGGCGAAUUAUGCAGAGAAAUAUACUAAAACUGAAAUUACCUUUAUGGGUUUUUAACAUGUUGCCACCUUUCAGUGUGGAGAAGCUUAAAGCCUUACUAUCCCCAUCUCCAUCUUCAUAUCUGUUUCAUAAUCUACUAACCCCAUCACAUAAAGCUCAAAAUACUUAAAAAUUUAGCUCAGUUUUUACACAAAGCACUAAAAUAUAGUGAUUUCUUCCUUUGAUUUCAAAGAAAACUAGUUUUAUACAAAAAGGGUGUCCAUGGUAUUUCAAAAAUACUCAAAAAAAAACUUGAUUUUUAGUGGUUUUAGAAGUAAAAAAAAUGUGGGGUUUUGGUAUUUUGAUUGAAUUGAUCUUUAGCAAGAUAGUUAUAAGUUAUAACGGAUAUAUUUGUCACAUUGUGUGAGCUGAAUUGGAUUUCAGAGCAAAUAGAGUCAAAAAAUGAUUCAAGAAGAUCACUUGCUUGUUGGUAGACUUGGCAACUUUACUGUUAAAGGGGUAGUUUUUGUCAUUUUUUCUCCUUCUUCUUCUUCUUC